rnacentral:sRNA from 1 species
AAGGAGCCUGGUAUUCUGUAGGCAAAAAUCUACGGAUCCACACCCGGGACGCUUCUUCUAAAUGUCCAAACCAGCUAGAGUAGUUCAAUUGGUAGAACGUAAGAUAGUUCAUCUUAAAGCUGUGGGUUCGAUUCCCAUCUCUGUCAACAGAAGCCCAAGUCCCGGGCGUCGUGGUGUAGUAGAUGCCUAAACCCGUUGCAACAUACGGGCUGAAGGGGUCCGCAAGAUCACUUCAGGCGGUAUACAUUCGGUCAGGCCGGCUUCGAGGCAUGCCUCGGGGAACGCCUGUUAAUGGCGAGGGAACCAACCCUCUAAUUGCAAAGCGCGGACAUGCGAGCCGCUAUGCAAGCCACGUCUAAGGUGCCGAACAAGCACGACGUAGUUCCUCUUCAGGGACAAACAUGGCAUUGGACAUUUACCCCGCUCUGGCGACAGAAACGGGUGGAUAACGCGGGAACACUGGGUUUAGCACACUCGGUUAUAAUCCACGGAAAGAAUGUCUCCUUAAAGCUGUAGUCUCAAGCU